UACGAAGGGGGCUAGCGUUGCUCGGAACCACUGGGCGUAAAGCGCACGUAGGCGGACUCUUAAGUCGGUGGUGAAAUCCUGGAGCUCAACUCCAGAACUGCCUUCGAUACUGGGAGUCUCGAGUCCGGGAGAGGUGAGUGGAACUGCGAGUGUAGAGGUGAAAUUCGUAGAUAUUCGCAAGAACACCAGUGGCGAAGGCGGCUCACUGGCCCGGUACUGACGCUGAGGUGCGAAAGCGUGGGGAGCAAACAGG
rnacentral:rRNA from 1 species